GCUCUAUCCCGUUAGUAAGUAAACCCAAUCGAAUUCAUUUGUUCGGACAAUUAAUUCGAACUAAAAUUUUGGCCAGAUCCAAUACGAAUGAUAAAUUUAAAGAAUUCGCCAUUGAUACGAUAUGCUGCCUUUUCCAGUGAUUCCUUUAUGGAUGACUUGUGGUAAAAAAACCCCACCGAAGGUAUUUAAAGAAUUUGCCAUUGAUACGAUAUGCUGCUUUUUCCAUUCAUUCCUUUAUGGAUCAUUUGUGGUGGAAAAACAAACCCUGCCGAAGGUAUGGAUGAACCAAUUAGAAUAGAACAUUGUAUAUUAUUUUCAUUAGAAUUAUAUAGAAUUUUAUUUUAUUAUUAUUCUAUUAUAAUAAUAAAAAUCUGUGAAAUAUUUUUCGAUUUUGAUUCUUGCAAUUUCUGAUUAUAUGUGUUAGAAUAAUAUUAUAUAUUAAUUCUGAAUUUUCUUAUUUCUUAUUCGAUCU
rnacentral:lncRNA from 1 species